GCCCUCGGUGGCUCAGAUGGUUAGAGCGUCUGCCAUGUAAAUAGGAGAUCCUGGGUUCGAGUCCCAGUCGAGGCA